rnacentral:rRNA from 1 species
AAUCAACGCUGGCGGCGUGCCUCAGACAUGCAAGUCGAACGAUUAAAGCUCUCUUCGGAGAGUGCAUAGAGUGGCGCACGGGUGAGUAACACGUAAGUAAUCUACCCUCGAGUGGGGAAUAACGUCCGGAAACGGACGCUAAUACCGCAUAAUGCAGCGGCACCGCAAGGUGACAGUUGUUAAAGAUUUAUCGCUUGAGGAGGAGCUUGCGGCAGAUUAGCUAGUUGGUAGGGUAACGGCUUACCAAGGCUACGAUCUGUAACCGGUCUAAGAGGACGGUCGGUCACACUGACACUGAAUAACGGGUCAGACUCCUACGGGAGGCAGCAGUCGGGAAUUUUGGGCAAUGGGCGAAAGCCUGACCCAGCAACGCCGCGUGAAGGAUGAAGUAUUUCGGUAUGUAAACUUCGAAAGAAUAGGAAGAAUUAAUGACGGUACUAUUUAUAAGGUCCGGCUAACUACGUG